rnacentral:rRNA from 1 species
AUACGGAGGGUGCAAGCGUUGUUCGGAAUCACUGGGCGUAAAGGGCGCGCAGGCGGUUUGGUAAGUCAGAUGUGAAAGCCCACGGCUCAACCGUGGAAGUGCAUUUGAAACUGGCAGACUUGAGUACUAGAGGGGAAAGUGGAAUUCCCGGUGUAGAGGUGAAAUUCGUAGAUAUCCGGAGGAAUACCGGUGGCGAAGGCGACUUUCUGGCUAGAUACUGACGCUCAGGCGCGAAAGCUUGGGGAGCAAACAGGAUUAGAUACCCUAGUAGUCC